GACUGAUAGGGUAAACAAAAAAUUAUAAGUUAAAUAAUUAAAGGAGGUUGGUUGGUAGGUGCAUUAUGAAAUUUAAAGGUGAAAUUUGGUGUUUGUGUGUAGUGAGUUUAGUGACCAAGGGGUCUUGAGGUUAUAAAAUUUUAGAUUUAAAUCAGGAUUAGAUACCCUGUUAUACUAUUUUUCAAUUUAAGGAUACUUGAGUAUUAAUCAGUUAUGUUCUCGAAACUUAAAGGAUUUGGCGGUAUUUUAGUCUAGUUAGAGGAACCUGUUCUAUGAACGAUAAGCCACGAAGAAUCUUACUCUUUUUAGUAAAUCAGUUUGUAUACCGUCAUUAUCAGAUAAUCUUUAUAAAGAGUUAUUAAAAUAAGUUUUUUAGUAUAUUAGAUCAAGGUGCAGCCAAUAGGAGAGCAAGAAAUGGGUUACAAUGUAAUUGAUAUAUACUGGGAGAGGGCUGAAAUGCUUUUUUGAAGGUGGAUUUAAUAGUAAUAAUCUUUUAAUAAGGGGUUAUGAUAGUAGCUCUAGGAUAUGUACACAUCGCCCGUCGCUCUCAUUCUUAAUGU
rnacentral:rRNA from 1 species